rnacentral:rRNA from 1 species
CCCUGCCAUUUGUACACACCGCCCGUCGCUACUACCGAUUGAGUGUUUUAGUGAGGUCCUCGGAUUGCUGGCCUGGCGGUUAACGCUGCCUAGCUGGCGAAAAGACGACCGAACUGUAGCACUUAGAGGAAGUA